rnacentral:lncRNA from 1 species
GUAAAUCAUCUAGGUCAACGCCCCUUGCUUGAAUUUUUUUCUCUGUGUUUGUAUUUAUCACUAUUAGCGGAAAAUAAAUGAGACAUUUAUGGCUGAAAUCAAACCAAGAUGAAACAAUCCUUGUAUGUUCUAUGGAUUUUAUAUGUGAUAUGUUUUAUGGUUCUUUUGUUUAACGUUGCAGGUAAGAUGGUUUAUAUUACAGCUAAGUAAUUAUAUAUGGUUGAUGCAGUUGUUAUUUUGCUGAAAAAAGAUCUAUGCAAUUUUUACGAAAAUUAAAACUCAAAUUAAGAACAAAUAUAGAUUCGUUAAAGACAGACUGACCUUGUUUAAGUCUUUUUUGUAUUUUAUUUUUUCCUGAUUAGGUUACUAUAUUUGACAGUUUGUUAGAUUUGUUUUCGCAUUAGGCAAACUGAACACAUUUUUAGAUGAUGUUUGCUCUUAUAUCCUUUCUUAGCAUUCUAUCAAUUGUUACGUUCAACGAUCUGAUAACUGUUAUAUGUUGGGUUAAUUUAAUUCUGAACUCUUUUAUUUUUCUAUUAAUAUGGUUGUUGAUUUUAUCUAUUUUAUAUUUGUUGUUUAUAUGUCCAUGUACACAGACACCCAGUAAAACGACAAUAUCACAUGAAUUCAAAACGAAGUAAUACAAGUCGAUCUAUUAUGUUAUGAGAUCUACUAUUGUCCUAAAGUAGACUAGUAAACCAUUUGUGAUCUAAAACGGUCGUAUUGAUCUCAACAAUAAAUAUUAAGUCGUUUUCCUUAUUUCGGUUAACAUCAUGACAAAUCCACUGCGGUAAAUUCACGACUGUUCAUGCAGUUCGCUUGCAGUCAGGUAAGAUCGGUGCAAUCUUUAUUCAGACUGUUCUGUAGCUGUACAAAGUGAGUGAAAAAAUUGUUGAACAGUAAUUUGACUGCAAGUGAAUUGCCUGAACAGCACUUAUUGUAUAAGUGAUAAUUUCGCCAUUUCUUAAAUGUCCACAACCUUCUUAAAGUGGUCAUACAGGUUUGAGGUUGAUCUAGCUAUAUAACAAAGUUUAAUCCCCCGUUUUCUACUUAAGGAAAUGCCUAUACCAAGUCAGGAGGUUGACAGUUGUUAUCCAUCCGUGUUUUGUGUUUGAGCUUUUAAUUUUUUCUAUUUGAUAACGGAAGUUCCGCUUUUAAUUUUCUUGAAGAUUGCUAUUUUUGUUAUUUUACUUUUUAUGAAUGAUACCAUCUCUGAAGUAACUAUGAAAUCACCGGGAUGAUAAUGUCUUCUGGCUUUUUUGUAUUGUCUUAUCAAUAGUUUAGAGAACGUACGUAGUGGAUAUAGUGUUUCUUGACGGUGAUCUCCAAUUCUGCAUAUGUCUUUUUACUCUACGUUUUAGCCGAGUUCAGUGCGUGAUAAUAAAAUAUCCUUAAUUUAUAAAGACAAAAUUUGACGCCUGAGGCUACGGAAAGAUUGAUUUCCAACUUAAUAUACAUCUUAUUGACGUCAAAGUGGAUUUAAUAAAGGCAACAGUAGAAUGUUCAAAAGUUAAAACACGUAUAAACCAGAACGAAAAAAAUCUUGAAUAAUGCCCAUGGGUAUAAGGUCAAGGUAAGCUUUAAGAUCAGUAAAUGUUUUUGAAAAGUGAAUCACUGUAAUGUUGAACUAUAGGAUACAAACACUACUGUUACCAUGGCAAUCCAUUACUUCAGGUUCAGCCAAAUACGUGUAAGAAAUAUGUGUCACGAAUUACAACACUAUACCCCUUUGAUCUUCCCUUUACACACGUCACACAAUUGUUAACGAAUUUGACAUAUAUAAAUCUGGGUCAUUAACAAGCAUGAUAAAAAAAGCUAACGACACAUGCAUUGCAUGCCUGAAUGAUAUGGAACACAUUCAUGUAUGUGCAUUUGACUUUUGCAUAUAUCCAAUGUGUGUAUUCGAGAUAUGCGAGGGAAAAGAGAAGUAUCUGUCUCUUUGGUACAUUAGCAAUAGUGAUAAGAUACGAACAUUUGAAAAUUGGCUUGUUCUGUUAUUUCUUUUAUAUUUUGCACUAGUUGACAAUAUUCGUAUACACUUUGAUAAUUUAUGUAUACCUUUCUGUGUCAUUAAUUCAAGCAGAUCGCUUUAAAUUGUAGUCUCUUAACCUUUUGGUCUAUCUCAAGAUAUAAUCUUGACCUUUUAUCCCCUUUCUGAUUAUAAUCUAGCGUUUCAUUCAAUUCUUGAUUAUAGUCUUGGCCUUUCAUUGACUUUAAAACCUCCCAAAUAGAAAAAUAAAGACAUAACUCGGUCUUCUGUUUACACGUUCUCACGAGAAACAUUAAUGUUUUUUUAAUUAUAUAAGCAUAAUUUUCUGCUUCUCACAAAUAUAUCCUAUUACUUCAUUUCUUUGUAGAAUGAUGUGUUGUAUAAAUAAAUAUAAGGAUGCCGAAAAAUCUUACAAAUGUUUUAUUUAUUUCAAGGGUUGAUCAUCAUAAUCUGUAAAUCAAAUGACUUUGGUAUCUUGGAAACAAAUCAAGUUCACGUGCCUGUCCCGACUCAUGAACCUCGGUAGUAGUAUGUCAGAUGUAAAAGGUUUCUAGCAUUCAGAAAAUUUCUUUUAACCUGUAAUAUGAAAUCAAAUAGACAUAGGAAAAUCCCAUUGGACGUGCUCGCUAUCUAUUUAUUUCUAUAUUUAUGUUAAUAUCGGGUUAUAUGAACGUUUGCAAUCUUCGGAGGUCACCUCGAUGAUUAAUUAGAUGACAUGUAGACUAAAUUACACACUGAUACACAUUACUGAGAACAUGCUUUGUAAAUUGCGCAUUUUAGACUUUUUAUAAUUUGGAUGUUCGUUUUAGUAUGUUAGCAGUCAAAUAUAAGAAGCUGAUUAAAAACCAUGAACAUGAAUCUAACAGCUUAUGACCCUCUAAAGACCAUAUGUUGACAUCUAGCAAUACCAGUUUGAGUGUGUGAUGCUUUGUUGCUGUCCGAAGGACGUAAAUUAUAAUUUAUACGUUUAUUCACAAUUGUAACCAAUGAACUUGGAAAUACAUUCACUAUUAUUUUCUUAUAUUAUUUAUUUCGACUUUCAUUCAAAACUAGACCUACAUCAUUUUUAUGUCUGCAGUAAUGUUUAUUUUCAUUUUUCUUUCAUUAAACUCAUACAGUCGAAUUAUCUUAUAAGUCAGACAAAGAAAAACAAAAUGAAAUUCCUUUUUCUUAGACAUACCCCGUAUGAAAUGAAAUAAAUGCUUUAUAUGUUGUAAUUGAAAUAUUAUCAUCAUGGAGAGAAGUGCACACUGUUUGAAUAUAAAUAAGUUUGUUCUAAACGAGAUCCAUUCCCGUCUUUUUAUUUCUUUCUUAGUGACUAACUACCCGAAUCCAAUGAUAAAUUAUAUUCUAUUUCGUAUAACAGAUUUGAAUCUUUCGUGGACACCUGUCACAUUUUUUUACAUCGAGAUGUAGUAUAUAUAAUGUAGGACAUGUAAACAUUAAAAUUGAGUAAAGUAUAAAUAAUAUAUCGCUUAUACAUCACUGCUGACGGUGUAAUGGUAUAACACAAAAUACAAUACUAAAGUUUUUUUUAAAUUGUUUAAAGAACAUGAUACUUGCAACGCAGUUUACGACCACCAACCUUGGCUUCUUACAUUACAUGUAACCUGGUAUUAUAGAAAGCUGUGUUUUGGUAUUAUAGAUUGCUGUAAUUUGGUAUUAUAGAAAGCUGUGUUUUGGUAUUAUAGAUUGCUGUAAUUUGGUAUUAUAGAUUGCUGUAUUUUGGCAUUAUAGAUUGCUGUAUUUUGGUUUCCCUUAUAUCGUUUUACUUCAAUACAUAUAUCCUGUUGAUUCUUUCAUUUUCGCUUAUUGAUAUUAGCGUUUUCUUACGUGUUCUUAAGUGUACCCAAAGGAAUGGCUAAAAUCAAUAAGCGAAUUUGAUUUAAAGAACGAUAUAUGUAUUGAAGUAAAACGAGUACAAAGUAAAACAUAGAUAAAAAAAAACAUCUAAGAAACAUGUACAUCGGAAUAUCUAAGGUCAAUCUUUUUUUUUAUUAUCUAAAAUCUGAUUUAUUGCACUUUUGCUGUUAAAAUGAAGACCAUGUCUACACCAUUUGACAGGGCACUCCUGUAGUGUUAGUUUUACUGCACAAACAGGGAGAUUGUUCAGUAAAUUAAUAAUAAUAAUAAAUGGUUAGAUUUACAUUCUAUGUAUCAAUAUUAUGUAUAGAGAUUACUACAGAAAUUAAUUUCCGGAAAAAAUUACAUUCGUGAACCGCUUUGACUCUGUAUAUGCUAGUUGAGCUGGUCAUGGCCUAUCCAUCAACGAUCACACGAUGGAGGAAAGUUAAUCUUAAAGGUUUUCUUCCAUCUACAUAUUCAAGCGUAAAUAGAUGAAAGAAAACUUUAAAUAAAGGCAACAGUAGUAUACUUUUCUUAUCCCAGGCAUAGAUUACCUUAACCGUAUUUGGCACUACUUUUUGGAAUUUUGGAUCCUCAAUGCUCUUCAACUUUGUACUUGUUUGGCUUUAUAAUAUUUUUGGUAUGAGCGUCACGCGCGUCUGGCGUACUAAAUUAUAAUCUGGUACCUUUGAUAACUAUAUACCGCUGUUCAAAAUUAAUAAAUCGAUUGAGAAAAAAAACAAAUCCGGGUCACAAACUAAAAAUAAACACAUCAAGUAUAAGAGGAAAACUACGACACAACAAAAACACCACACUAAAAUGUAACACACAGAAACACAACACUAAAAUGUAACAUACACAGAAACACAACACUAAAAUGUAACAUACACAGAAGCGAACUAUGAUAUAACAAUGGCAAUUUUUCUGACUUGGUACAGGACAUUUUAAGAAAAAAAAUGGUCGGUUAAACCUGGUUUUGUGGCUAGCCAAACCUCCCGCUUUUAUGGCAAUGUUAAAUAUAAGAUUGACUUAAAAUCCUUCCAAUGUACAUGUUUCUUGGAUGGUUUUUGUCGAGCCUUCGACUUUUGUCGAAAAAGCAAAACUAAGCGAUCCUACAUUCCGUCGUCGUCGGUGUCGUCGUCGUCGGCGGCGGCGUCCACAAAUAUUCACUCUGUGGUUAAAGUUUUUGAAAUUUUAAUAACUUUCUUAAACUAUACUGGAUUUCUACCAAACUUAGACAGAAGCUUGUUUAGGAUCAUAAGAUAGUAUCCAGAAGUAAAUUUUGUAAAAAUAAAAUUUCCUUUUUUCUGUAUUUUAUAUAUAAAUGGACUUAGUUUUUCUGCGGGGAAACAUUACAUUCAAUCUGUGGUUAAAGUUUAUGAAAUUUGAAUAACUUUCUUAACCUACUGGAUUUCUCCCAAACUUGGACAGAAGCUUGUUUAUGAUCAUAAGAUAGUAUCCAGAAGUAAAGUUUGCAAAAAUAAAAUUCUUUUUUUCUGUAUUUUACUUAUAAAUGGACUUAGUUUUUCUGCGGGGAAACAUUACAUUCACACUGUGGUAAAGUUUUUAAAAUUUUAAUAACUUUCUCAAACUAUCCUAGGUUUGCACCAAACUUGGUAAUUUUGUAAAAAAAAAAAUCCAUAUAUAAAAAAGAAGAUGUGGUAUAAUUGCCAAUGAGACAACUAUCCACAAAAGACCAAAUGUUUUCCGUAUUUUACUUUUAAAUGAACUUAGAUUUUCUGCCAAGAAACAACACAUUCAUGCACUCUGUUGUUAAAUUAAAAAAAAAAAAAUUUCUUAUACUAUUUUAAAUUUGUACCAAACUUGGACAGAAGCUUGUUUGUGAUCAAAAGCUAGUAUCUAGAAGGAAAUUUUGUUAAUAUUUUGAACCUGUGUAUUGUAUUUUACUUAUAAAUGGACUUAGUUUUUCUUCCAGUUAACAUUACAUACAGUCUGCAGUUAAAGUUUUUAAAACAUUUAUUAGAUUCAUAAACUAUCCUGGAUUUUUACCAAGCUUGGACAGAAGCUUCUUACAAUCAAAAGAUAGUAUCAAGAGGAAUAUUUUUAUUGAUUUGUUUCCUCAUUUUUGUUAAGCCUGCGAUUUACAGCAAAAGUAGGCGAGACACUGGGUUCCGCGGAACCCUUACAAAUUUUUGUUUUAUUUUAUGUCAUACUUUGAGUUUAUUGUCUAAUCCCAUCAAUGAGAAAUAAGAUGUCGACAUUUUUUAUACCAAAUUCAGAAAGAUAAAUUAUACUUUUGCAUUAACAUGAAAAUCCUCAACGCGUACGAAUUUGUAUUAUUUCUGUUUCUGUUUUAUGGUAUUCUUCGAUCUUUCCUACCUCAUAUAUGUCAACCUACGACAUGAUAUUAGUUAUGAUAAUUGUUAUCAUAUAUCAUUAUUUUAAUAAUUAUUAUUCAUGAAUUAUCAGGAGUAAAGACAGAAUAUUAAAGUUCAAUUUCAAGUCUUACUAUGGAAAAGCAUAUGAAUAUUCAAAUAACGAAAAAAAGCUUGAAUAAACAAAACAAUAUUAUUUUCCAAUAUUUGACAAAUGAAGUUUUUAAUAUUAUUCAUAGCAGUAUCGGAGGUCCACCUGAGAUUUAUAAAAUACUCAGUAAGAAAGUUUAUAAUAACUGUGUAUAAUAUAUACAUAUUUUGAUAAGAUUUUUAUCACAUAGAGUUCUUUUCUGACAGUGUAAUAACUUUGACAGCUGAUUCUCUCGAUACCACGUUAAAGUAUUGUAUAGUUGUUCUGUGUUGUUUUGUCUAUCAUACUCAUAAAUCAUUUUCGUGAAAAAUUAAACAUCUAAAUCUACAUGACCCUAAGUCAUACAAAUCUAAUAUGUUUUGUUUAGUAAAUGUACGAUGACCCCUUUUUGUGGUCGUAUCAAUAAAACAUGAUGUUAUAUAUACAUAUAAGUAUACACUUGGAGAACAGAUAAACAAACUCAUCAAAAGAGUAUAUAUUUAAUAGAUGUGCUUUUGUUGUCUUGUCUUCGACAUAAGUCGCUGUUGGCAAAACUAAAUUAUUACUUUUCUUGCGCCUGCAUACGAUGGUAACAAUCUCUCUUCAUACCUUAACUCCAGUUUAAUCAAGACUUUCGACGAAAGUGUGGUGAUUUUCUCCUUCAACGAUUCAUUGUUUCCUGACUUCCGCCUAAUGCUUUUAUUCGCCUAAUCAUAUUGGUCAUUUUGAGUAAAGUGCGUGUUUAUCUGUGGUUUAACAUUAAUAUUAUCCAAAAAGAUAUAAGAAGAUGUUGUAUAAGUGCCAAUGAGACAACUAUCCAUCCAAGUAACAAUUUAUAAAAGUAAACCAUUAUAGGUCAAGGUACUGUCUUCAACACGGAGCCUUGGCUCACACCGAACAGCAGGCUAUAAAGGGACCCAACAAAUUACUAGUGUAAGACCAUUCAAACGAGAAAACCAACGGUCUAAUCUAUAUAAAAAACGAAAACCACUUAUGAAUCACAUCAACAAAGGACAACUACUGAACAUUUUCAAAAGCCAAAAACUUAAUUUUCCUUUCAGAUAUAUUGAUGAUGUUUUCUGGUUGGGUUCCAUUAAUAUUUCCUCCAGAACUAGAAAUUUAAGAAACAACAGACACAACUUCAUCUGCCUCAUCCAUGUUCCUCGAAUUUGACAAAAACGAUCAUCUCAUUACUAGAAUCUUUGACAAACGAGAAAUUAUUAAUUUCCCCCAACUUAGUAUCAAUAUACCAAUAUCAUCUGAAGAUAAUAUACAUUUCCUAACUCAUUCGUUAUUAAAGAGCUUGUGGUUAUAAAACGCCACCAGUGUCUGAGCUUACAGUCGAUCGAUGAACCAGAGUUAUGACAAUGAACGUCUCGUCCUUUUUGUAAAAAUGUUCAUGCAAAGAUACAAGGACUUAGUUGAUAAAUAUUCAGUAUAAGUUUUACAGAUAAAAGAGGGACGAAAGAUAGUACAUGAUAGUCUGUUGAUUAUCAUCUUUAUACAUAUUACAGUGCACUUAUAUUUGUCUUUGUUAAUUAUUAACCUUUACUGUUUAGUCCGUUUUGGUAUUAUCCUUUAUGCGUGGCUCGGUACUUAUACAUCCCGCCAAUGUGUUGUUGUGCUGUGGUCAUUUUUUGUAUUUGUCUUUUAUUUGUGCUUUGUCUAUAUGCUAUUAUGUUUUGCUCUGUUGGUUUAUUUGUUUGUUUUUAUAGUGAUAAAGAUUAUAACAUGAUGUUAACUGCUGUACCUCAGUUUUGGACAUUUUUUUUUUCUAUUAAAUCUGUUUGUUUGUACACACAGUAUUUACAAUAAAAAGGAAUUUUAGGCGAUUGUCAUACAAGUGAGAAGUUUAGCUAGCUAUAAAACAAGAUUAAAUGCACCAUUUUUUUUACAUAAGGAAUAUGAAAGUGAUCUUCAAAUUGUUUGAUGUGUUUUAGUUUUUGAUUUUGCCAUAUGAUAACAGAAUUUCUGAUUUAAAUUUUUCUUGGAAAUCGGUAUUAUUAUUUAUACUAUUUAUCUGUAUUAUUAGCGCAUCAAAUACCUAAUUCGUCUUGAAAACAUGGUUUGUUGCGCAAAUUAAAUAUGUUUAUUUGGCGGUAAUGAAAUGCAAAUUAGAGCUAAUGUCUGAGAUAAACCAAUUGUUAUAUCACCUUGACCUAAUUUUCAAGGUUAAAAUUCGGUAAAGAUAGAAAUGAACAUAUACAUCUGACUGGUCCAUUUGAUCGUUACCGCUGUGUCAGAGUUCUCAGUACUUUGAUAAAUAUAUUUUAAGGAUAAAUUGGUGUUCAAAGUGAAUAGUUUGUGCUAUUAUUUAAAUAGUUUCAACACACCAAAAAAUCAAAAUACCACUUUUAUAUUUCAAAAAGGACAGACCAUCCAUAUGUCUUACACAUGCUUGUUUAUACAAGGUUAAUAUUUUUGAUUCAGAUGUAGAAGGACGAUGCAAAAGUCACACGACGACCCCUGCACAUACAACUACCACCACAAUUCCUAGACCAGGUAGAUAAUAAGGUAAGUUACAAUUCCUUGACCAGGAAGCGAUAAUUAAUCAUUUAGUCUAUAUAUCUUUCAACAACAUUAUUAUAUAAAAUCACAGAAUUCCUGGACAAGUUAGAUAAUUAAACAUAAGUUAUGAAAUUGAAAAUGGAAAUGGGGAAUGUGUCAUGGAGAAAACAACCCGACCGAAGGCCUGCCUCAGCUGGCCCCUUAACAAAGAUAUGUAUUAGUCAGUGAUAAUUGAUGUCAUACUAAACUCGGAAAUAUAUAAGUGAACUAAAAUUAAAAAUCAUACAAGACUAACAAAUGCCAGAGGCUCAUUACUUGGGACAGGCGCAAAAAUGCGGCGAGGUUAAACUUGUUUUUCUUGAAAUCUACCCUACCCCCCCCCCCCCCCAACCUAAUACGUCUAGCCAAUGUACAAAAAAUAAACACACAGCAAUACGCACACGCAGUUUAAAAGAAGUCCAAGUCCAAGUCCAGCGAUGUCAUAAUAGGUAACAAAAGAAACUAAGCAAAAUGAAAAUAAUGCAUUAAUAAAAAAAAAAGGACUACUAGCAGUUACUGAAAUGCCAGCUCCAGACUGGUUGAAUAAUUGAAAGAUUAUGUCUUCAUCAUAUGAAUAUCAAGCACAAUCCCUCCCGUUAUUGGUCUAUACCCAUCGACGUCAUUAGUAAAUAAAUCACUUUACCAUUUCUGGACAUAUCAGAUAAUUAAAUUGAAGUUAGUCUAUGUAUCCAUCAAUGACAAUGCAAAGAACUUUAGUUUAGAAUAGUUUAGAAAUGUUAUAAUAGCAUAACAAACACUAUUUGCCAUUAAAGAAAAACAAUAUCAGCUUGAUAUGAUAUCGCUGACUUAAACAACAACAAUUGCAAUGUACUUAUAUUCUAUGUUUAAGUCAAGGGUUUCAUAUAUGAAUAAUUUUCUUUUAUAUUUUUUGGCAGGGUGCUGGAGAACAUGUGUAGUACAGUGCAAGGAACCCAUAUGAACUGCUGGUUGUGUUACAUGUUUACAUACUCACGUUAUGUUUGUUUUGUUUCGAUUGUCCUUUAAUUAAAAUGUUCGAGUAAUAUGUUAUGUCUUUUAAAAUUCGCACACAUAACACAUGAAAGCAAAUUAUAAUCAGACAAUUUUGCUGUCGUUAUGG